AGUGAAUGCUGGCGGUAGGCCUAACACAUGCAAGUCGAACGGCAGCACAGUAAGAGCUUGCUCUUACGGGUGGCGAGUGGCGGACGGGUGAGGAAUACAUCGGAAUCUACUUUCUCGUGGGGGAUAACGUAGGGAAACUUACGCUAAUACCGCAUACGACCUACGGGUGAAAGCAGGGGAUCUUCGGACCUUGCGCGAUUGAAUGAGCCGAUGUCGGAUUAGCUAGUUGGCGGGGUAAAGGCCCACCAAGGCGACGAUCCGUAGCUGGUCUGAGAGGAUGAUCAGCCACACUGGAACUGAGACACGGUCCAGACUCCUACGGGAGGCAGCAGUGGGGAAUAUUGGACAAUGGGCGCAAGCCUGAUCCAGCCAUACCGCGUGGGUGAAGAAGGCCUUCGGGUUGUAAAGCCCUUUUGUUGGGAAAGAAAAGCAGCAGGUUAAUACCCCGCUGUUCUGACGGUACCCAAAGAAUAAGCACCGGCUAACUUCGUG
rnacentral:rRNA from 1 species